UGGUCCUUUUGGAAUGUAACUUUUGACUUUUUUAACUGUGCAACUUUUAACCGCGAAAUAAACAAAAACUGCUGUAAAGCAAUUUUUUUUCAAACCUAAUAAGUUCAGCUAACAGUUCUUACAGCUAACAAUUUCAUUUCUUCAUUCAUUGAUUAAAUCGUCGAAUAUUUAUAAAGUGAACAUAUAGUAGAACCAUGGCAGAAAUAAUUUAUCCACCAAAUAUUCCUCCUGGACAUAUAUUCGUUAAUGAUAAAUGGAAAGACACAGACUUACUUAGAUCAUUAAAAAGACGUGCACAAAUUGUGAUUGUGGAUUCUAUGGACUUCGUAGAUUUUUAUCCUGCUACGGAAUUUGGAGUUAUAUUUGUAACAGAAGCUGAUUUAGUGGCUGAAACCAACUACAAAAGAAAUUUAGCUAAAUUAAAAAAGGCUAAUUUUGAUAGAAGUGCUGUGCUUGUAGAAAAAACAGCUAUUAGUGGUCAAUAUUUCUACAAUAUGCAGAAGUUUACUGUCUUAGAAUUAGGCUUAGGAAUUAUUCCAGUGACAGGAAUAGAAGAAUGUACUCAAGUCCUUAUUUCCAUGGUACGAAUGGGAAGUGAAGAUAAAACUAUAUUCAGAAUGAAGGGGAGAGUUCCUCCUUUAGAAACGUAUCUCCUGAAGACACUUUUAGCAGUUCCAUCUUUGGGAGAAACAAAAUCACAAGCAAUCCUCUUAAAAUUCAAAAGUAUUAUUUUAUAUUCUUUAUUUGAUGGUUAUUGAUACAGUACAGUUCACAGUGAUACAGUAAAAGUCUGGCUAUCCGAAAUUUGACUAACCCAAAAAAUUAAGGUUUAAGAGGUAUUUGUAAUGCCAGUGAAGAGGAUUUAGCCAAAGUAAUAGGUCCCAGUAGUGCGAAACAAGUGUAUAAUUUC
rnacentral:misc_RNA from 1 species